CUGAGAGGGUGUACGGCCACGCUGGAACUGAAAAAGGUCCAGUCCCCUACGGGGGCCAGCAGUCUAGAAAUUUGCGCAAUGGGCGAAAGCCUGACGCAGCGACGCCACGUGGAGGAUGACGCCCUUAGGGGUGUAAACUCCUGUCAGAAGGGAAGAAUGCAGGAAAUAACUUUUCCUGUUUGACUGUACCUUCAGAGGAAGCCCCGGCUAACUUCGUGCCAGCAGCCGCGGUAAUACGAAGGGGGCAAGCGUUGUUCGGAUUUACUGGGCGUAAAGGGCGUGCAGGCGGACCGAUAAGUCGUCUGUGAAAUCUGUCGGCUCAACCAACAACUUGCAGUCGAAACUAUCGGUCUUGAGUACAGGAGAGGAGAGCGGAAUCUCAGGUGUAGCGGUGAAAUGCGUAGAUAUCUGGGAGAACACCGGUGGCGAAGGCGGCUCUCUGGCCUGAUACUGACGCUGAGGCGCGAAAGCUAGGGGAGCGAACCGGAUUAGAUACCCUGGUAGUC
rnacentral:rRNA from 1 species